rnacentral:tRNA from 1 species
GCCCGGAUGGCGGAAUUGGUAGACGCGCUGGUCUCAAACACCAGUGGAUUCAAACUCCGUGUCGGUUCGAUCCCGACUCCGGGUA